GAAGAAGCCAAGAGCUGCCUGAGGAUUUUGUGGGAAGGCCCCAAGGAAGGUGCAGACCAGGCUCCAGGAGGGGUCAGGCCCGAGGCCCAGAGGGAAGAGAGGAAAGGAUGCAAGAGCAUGUGAGGGCAGGAAGCCGGACAAAGUGGUUAGCUGUUUAUGGAGCAUCUUCUCUAUGGAGCCUUGGUGUCCUUAGCUGUAAAAUGUCAAGAACAGCAUCACUCGCUGGACUGGUGUAAGGACUGGAGAGACCAGUACCAGAUGUCUCUCUCAGGGGCUGAGAAGUGCUCGUUCUCCAUGCCCCACUCCAAGCAAGUCUUGGCAGCCUUGUCUAAGGGGUGGCAGAGGAGGGACAGUGCAGCAGGGCCAUCACUCACUCAGGAGGGAGCUGCAGGAAGCUCAGUGUCAUUGGAGAACAGGCAGACAUAAAUGGGCCAGCUGCUGCAAGGCCAGGGACCCCUGAGAGCCACUGGGGCCUUUCAGAAGGGAAGUGGAUUCAUCUGGCAAGAGUGGAGUGUUCCGGGGACACAGGCAAGACUGCGGGGAGGCCAGGGAACAGGCCAGUCUGGCAGUCAGGGUGAGGGAAGAUGGGGCCUGGACCAGAUGGUCGGGUGGGGAUGGAGAGAAGUGAAAAGAAGUUCAGGACUCAGCUCUGGGUGACUGAUUGUGGGGAAGGUGGCAAAGAGGAGUCAAAGGCAGCCCUGGGCUCCUGGCUUGGACAGCAGAGGACAUAGAUGGUGGUGCCAUUUCUGGGAGCUAAGGAACUGAGAAGGAAGGACAAAUCUGCAGAGAAGGUGAUUCACUCUGUGUUACAAGUUCUUAGAGGCUCCUGUGAGAUAGCCAAGUCAAGACGUCAGGAGACAAUUGGCUGUGCUUGUCUGGGG
rnacentral:lncRNA from 1 species